GUACUGGUGUUAUUGGUUUCUCCUUUCUGAGGAGCCAUGAUGUCAUUAAUUUGGUGUCGUGGGGAAUCAGGACUGUUACUUUGAAAAAAUUAGAGUGUUUAAAGCAGGCACGCGCUUGAAUACAUUAGCAUGGAAUAAUGAAAUAGGACGUUCGAUUCUAUUUUGUUGGUUUCUAGGAUCAACGUAAUGAUUAAUAGGGAUAGUUGGGGGCAUUAGUAUUCAAUUGUCAGAGGUGAAAUUCUUGGAUUUAUUGAAGACUAACUACUGCGAAAGCAUUUGCCAAGGAUGUUUUCAUUAAUCAAGAACGAAAGUUAGGGGAUCGAAGACGAUCAGAUACCGUCGUAGUCUUAACCAUAAACUAUGCCGACUAGGGAUCGGAUGAUGUUAAUUUUUUAAUGACUCAUUCGGCGCCUUACG
rnacentral:rRNA from 1 species